rnacentral:rRNA from 1 species
CUGGUUUUUCAAAAACAUGUCCUAAUGUCUUAAAAUAUUAGGUCUGGCCUGCUCAAUGAUUUAUAAUUAAAUAGCCGCAGUAUUUUGACUGUGCGAAGGUAGCAUAAUCAUUUGUCUUUUAAUUGAAGGCUUGAAUGAAUGGUCGGAUGGGGGAGUAACUUUCUUUAUAUUAUAAAAUUUAAUUUAAUUUUUAAGUUAAAAAGCUUAAAUUUUUAAGUGGGACGAGAAGACCCUAUAGAAUUUAAUUCUUUCUCUUUAUAGAAUAUUUUUUGUUUAUUAUUUUUUUAUUUGGGGGGGAAUUUUGUUGGGGUGACAUUGAGAUUUUUAUAACUCUCAUAUUUUAUUUUUUUAUUAAUUUUUAUGUUUAAAAUCCUUUAUUAUGGAAUUUAGAUUAAAUUACCUUAGGGAUAACAGCGUAAUUUUUUUGGAGAGUUCUUAUCGAUGAAAAAGUUUGCGACCUCGAUGUUGGAUUAAAAUUAGAUUUAAGUGCAGAAGCUUAAUGAUCUAGGUCUGUUCGACCUUUAAAUUUUUACAUGAUCUAAUUUCCAACCGG